rnacentral:rRNA from 1 species
AUACGGAGGGUGCAAGCGUUACUCGGAAUCACUGGGCGUAAAGCGCGCGCAGGCGGUCUUUUAAGUUGGAUGUGAAAGCCUACGGCUCAACCGUAGAACUGCAUCCAAAACCAUUAGACUAGAGUGUGGGAGAGGAAGAUGGAAUUAGUUGUGUAGGGGUAAAAUCCGUAGAGAUAACUAGGAAUACCAAAAGCGAAGGCAAUCUUCUGGAACACUACUGACGCUGAGGCGCGAAAGCGUGGGGAGCAAACAGGAUUAGAAACCCUAGUAGUCC